rnacentral:rRNA from 1 species
UCCGUAGGGUGCAAGCGUUAAUCGGAAUUACUGGGCGUAAAGCGUGCGCAGGCGGUUUUGUAAGUCUGUCGUGAAAGCCCCGGGCUCAACCUGGGAACUGCAUUUGUGACUGCAUCGCUAGAGUACGGCAGAGGGGGAUGGAAUUCCGCGUGUAGCAGUGAAAUGCGUAGAUAUGCGGAGGAACACCGAUGGCGAAGGCAAUCCCCUGGGCCUGUACUGACGCUCAUGCACGAAAGCGUGGGGAGCAAACAGG